UCCCACUACCGUGCUAUAACCAAGCAGAGUAAAGGAAUAGCAUUAUUACUUGAUGUUAGGGAGACUCCUAUAUAUGUCGACCUCCAUCCCUAACGGACAGGCAGACCUGCAAAAAUGCUCAACCCUUUCUCUUAUUUGAGAGGGCACUCCCAACGAAGCCUUUCGAAAUAUUCAGCUUUCUUUCCCCCCGAUAAUACCUC
rnacentral:lncRNA from 1 species